ensembl:misc_RNA Metazoa_SRP Metazoan signal recognition particle RNA
GCCAGGCAUGGUGGUGCAUGCCUGUAAUCCCAGCUACUCAGGAGGCUGAGGCAGGAGAAUCGCUUGAACCCGGGAGGCAGAGGUUGCAGUGAGCCGAGAUCAUGUCACUGCACUCCAUCCUGGGUGACAGAGCGAGACUCCGUCUCAA